rnacentral:sRNA from 1 species
GGAGACUGAGCCCCUGGAUGAUGAUGAGGUAGCUGACCCAGGCGGCUCUGAGGAGGAGAACGGCCUAGAAGACACUGAACCUCCAGUGCAGACAGCCAUCCUGACAGCUUCAGCCCCAGCAGCUCAGGCCGGAGCAUCUCAGGGGCUACACGCUUUGCUGGAGGAACGGAUCCACAACUACAGAGAGGCUGCGGCCAGUGCCAAGGAGGCAGGCGAAGCAGCCAAAGCCAGGCGCUGCGAGCGUGGCCUGAAGACCUUGGAGUCGCAGCUAGCCUCUGUGAGGAGAGGCAGAAAGAUCAAUGAGGAUGAGAUCCCACCUCCAGUGGCCUUAGGAAAGCGGCCCCUGGCCCCCCAGGAACCAGCCAACAGGAGCCCUGAGGCAGACCCUCCAGCUCCCCCUGCCUUGGAGUCAGCCCGUUUCAGACUCAGACCCAGACCCGCGGGCCCUGCUGUCAUCCCGACAGAGAGAGUACAAAGCGGCUGCCCUCAGUGCCAAGCGGGCUGGAGAGCUAGACCGUGCCCGAGAGCUCAUGAGGAUUGGGAAGAGAUUUGGUGCUGUCCUGGAGGCCCUGGAGAAGGGGCAGCCUGUGGAUCUGAGUGCCAUGCCCCCGGCACCUGAGGAUCUGAAGCCCCGGCAGGCUUCUCAGGCCGCCACAGCACCCUCAGUCAUUCCCCCAGCCGUGGAGCGAAUGCAGCCAGUGAUGGCCCCUGAAGUCCCAGCAACCCCAGUGGCCCCUACAGAGUCACAGACAGUGCUGGAUGCCCUGCAGCAGAGGCUGAACAAGUACCGUGAGGCGGGCAUCCAGGCCCGGAGUGGUGGGGACGAGCGCAAGGCUCGGAUGCAUGAGCGCAUUGCCAAGCAAUAUCAAGAUGCUAUUCGAGCACACCGAGCAGGACGCAAAGUCAACUUUGCUGAGUUGCCUGUUCCUCCGGGAUUUCCCCCCAUCCCUGGCCUGGAGCCCACUAUGGGUGUUGAGGAGGACGCAGUGGCAGCGACAUUGGCAGCUGCAGAGAAACUGGCUUCCGCAGAGGAUACAGCCCCAGCUCAUGAAGACGAGGACGAGGGUGAGCCCCCAGCACAGGCCCCAGUGGCCAAGAAACCUGCACGGCCUACAGUCCCUUCAUCCCAGCGCCUGCCUGAGCCCAGGGCCUCAAGUUCUAAGGAGUCACCGAGUCCAUCUGUGCGGGAGCAGCUGGCACUGCUGGAGGCACGGAAACUGCAGUACCAACGGGCAGCCCUGCAGGCCAAGCGCAGCCAGGACCUGGAGCAGGCCAAAGCCCAUCUGCGGGUGGCCAAAUGUCUUGAGGCUCAGAUCAUCCAGGCCCGAUCUGGCAGACCUGUUGAUCUGUCCAAGAGGAGUAAUCUGACUCUUGGGGCCCGAGGGGCCUUGUGACCUGGGUAGGUGCCUUCACCCUUGACGGAUGAGGAGGGUGACUUCAUCCUCAUCCACCACGAGGACCUGCGACUCUCCCAGAAGGCGGAAGAGGUGUAUGCCCAGCUGCAAAAAAUGCUUCUGGAGCAACAAGAGAAGUGUCUGCUGUUCUCCAAGCAGUUCAUGCACCAGGGCAACGUGGCUGAGACCACCCGGUAAGUGCAAGGGCUGGGACUGGGCUCAUGGGGUGGGGAGAAAAUCCACCGUCAUGCUGACAUACCCAUCCCUGUCAGAUUUGAGAAGCUUGCUCAGGACUGCAAGAAACAGCUGGAGAUCCUGCAGCUGGCCCAGGCUCAGGGCCUCGACCCUCCCAGCCACCACUUUGAGUUGAAGACAUUCCAGACCGUGAGGAUCUUCUCAGAACUCAACAGCACAGAAAUGCAUCUGAUCAUUGUCCGGGGAAUGAACCUCCCAGCCCCUCCAGGGGUGACUCCCGAUGACCUGGAUGCUUUUGUGCGGUUUGAGUUUCACUACCCUAACUCGGACCAGGCUCAAAAAAGCAAAACAGCUGUGGUGAAGAACACAAACUCUCCAGAAUUUGAUCAACUCUUCAAACUAAACAUCAACCGAAACCACCGGGGCUUCAAGAGGGUGAUCCAGAGCAAAGGCAUCAAGUUUGAGAUCUUCCACAAAGGGUCCUUCUUCAGAAGCGACAAGCUGGUUGGCACAGCACACCUGAAACUGGAGCGGCUGGAGAAUGAGUGUGAGAUCAGAGAAAUUGUGGAGGUCCUGGAUGGAAGGAAGCCCACCGGGGGGAAGCUGGAGGUGAAGGUGAGGCUGCGGGAGCCUCUGAGUGGCCAGGAUGUGCAGAUGGUCACUGAGAACUGGCUGGUUCUGGAGCCCAGGGGCUUGUGAGGUGGGCAGCUCUCUGGGCCUUCAGAACCUUUGCCCCCUGCUUUUACUCAACUACUCAACUCAUAUCUGGAGAGAAAGCCUAGGAGUUUCUCAUCUAUGAGAAAGACCAAGAGGCCAAACUGUUGGGUAGGGCUUAUGGGCUGAGUUUCUGAUGUUCCUCAGUAGAACUGGGAAGAGAAGCUAACCUUCCAAGGUUUAACUAUCUUCAGGAAACCCUUUCUAAAAUCUUUCUUUGUGUUUUCACUGCAGUUUAGACUGACUUCUUGUGCUUUGCACCCCUGUGUAGCCGAUGGCCAGCACCAGGAGAGGAGUCAGGCCGCGACUGUGCAGGAGUUGACUUUCCCAGCUUUGCUGGCUUCAGAAGCCUUUGUACAUAAGAGAGAUGCUGCUACCCAAGUACCAAAGACCUGUUAAGCAUGUGCA